GCCCACUACGGCGAUGGGGCUCGCCGUCGACCGCCCGGCUCGCCCGGGCUGAUAGCUCCUACCAACCG
rnacentral:ncRNA from 2 species